rnacentral:rRNA from 1 species
CAGUAGCCGCGGUAACACAGAGGGUGCGAGCGUUAAUCGGAUUUACUGGGCGUAAAGCGUGCGUAGGCGGCUUCUUAAGUCGGAUGUGAAAUCCCUGAGCUUAACUUAGGAAUUGCAUUCGAUACUGGGAAGCUAGAGUAUGGGAGAGGAUGGUAGAAUUCCAGGUGUAGCGGUGAAAUGCGUAGAGAUCUGGAGGAAUACCGAUGGCGAAGGCAGCCAUCUGGCCUAAUACUGACGCUGAGGUACGAAAGCAUGGGGAGCAAACAGGAUUAGAUACCCGCGUAGUCCCUGUCUCUUAUAC